CAGAGAUGGAUGGUGCCUUCGGGAACUCUGAGACAGGUGCUGCAUGGCUGUCGUCAGCUCGUGUUGUGAAAUGUUGGGUUAAGUCCCGCAACGAGCGCAACCCUUAUCCUUUGUUGCCAGCGGUUAGGCCGGGAACUCAAAGGAGACUGCCAGUGAUAAACUGGAGGAAGGUGGGGAUGACGUCAAGUCAUCAUGGCCCUUACGAGUAGGGCUACACACGUGCUACAAUGGCGCAUACAAAGAGAAGCGACCUCGCGAGAGCAAGCGGACCUCAUAAAGUGCGUCGUAGUCCGGAUUGGAGUCUGCAACUCGACUCCAUGAAGUCGGAAUCGCUAGUAAUCGUGGAUCAGAAUGCCACGGUGAAUACGUUCCCGGGCCUUGUACACACCGCCCGUCACACCAUGGGAGUGGGUUGCAAAAGAAGUAGGUAGCUUAACCUUCGGGAGGGCGCUUACCACUUUGUGAUUCAUGACUGGGGUGAAGUCGUAACAAGGUAAGCGUAGUGCU
rnacentral:rRNA from 1 species